rnacentral:lncRNA from 1 species
UCUUAUUUAUUACAAAAGUUUAACAACUUAAUUAAUUCAAUUCAAAACUAACUAUAAAUCUUCUCCUCAAUUGUGAUUGGUCCAUCUCAGAUUUAUUGAAACUAUUGCACUUUAGACCUUGCAUUUUCUUUAACUCGUUUUAUGAGUCACGGUCCAAAUUACCUGCAUAGUAAAAUCUUAUAACAAAAUUAGUUAUUUUAAUAAAACCAAUCGUUUAUUACAUUUCAGUCCUUAUAACGAUUUAUUUGAAAACUUUAUGAAUAACACCCUGAUUCAGUUUAUUCAGUUAUGUUAUGACCUUAUGAUUGUUUUAUUACAUUCUGGUUCUUAGUCCUGUUCAGUGGUAAAUUGCAUAUUUUACCCUGAACUUUCAGCAUAUUCUUAUACUCCCCCCUCAAGCCUUGGAAUACAUGUUAUGGAUUCCUAGCUUGACUGAGAAUGCUGUAAUCGCAUUUUCUCCUAGAGAUUUGGUAAAAAUAUCUGCAAGUUGGUAUUUUGUACCUACUUGUUUUAGUAAAAUUAUACCUUUAUCUAUCAUUUCUCUUAUAGAGUGGCAUGAUAUCUCUAUAUGCUUACUCCUCUCAUGAAAUACUGGAUUAUUUGCAAGAUAAAUUGCAGAUUUGUUAUCACAGUAUAGAGAGGAUGGCAUUGAUAUUUUUAUUUUUAAAUCUCUAAAAAGUUGAUGUAGCCACAGUAUUUCACACUGUGCUUUGCUGAUGGCCCUAUAUUCAGCUUCACAAGAUGAAAGUGAAACUGUGUUUUGUUUCUUAGAUUUCCAAGAAAUUAGUGAUGUCCCUAAAAACAUACAAUAACCUGAUAGUGAUUUCCUGCUGAUUGAGCAAGAGCCCCAGUCUGAAUCACAAUAUCCAUGAAGGUCCAUCUGAUUUUGUUUCUUAUAUAAAAUGCCCUGUCCAGGGGCAUUUUUGAGGUAUCUUAUCACUUUGAAUAAGGCUUGAAGAUGGAUUUCAUUAGGAUUUCCCAUAAAUUGGCUUAACCAAUGGACAGGGAAGCUAAGAUCAGGCCUGCUUAUGUUUAGGUAUAUAAGUUUGCCUACUAGUGACCUAUAGAGAGUUGGAUUCAUUAUAGCCUUUGCUUGCUCAUUUCUUAGAUUUAUAUGUCUCUCCAUAGGCACUUUUGAAGGUUUUGCAUCUAUAAGGCCACUCUCUUUUAGUAUGUUUAAUGCAUACUUUCUUUGAGAUAUGUAUAUACCUUCUGGUGGAUAUGUAACUUCAAUCCCUAAGAAAUAGGAUAGUUUUCCUAAAUCCUUUAUUUUAAAAUUUUUUUCAAUGUUCUUUUUUAUUAAGAACAUCUCUGUUUCAUUAUUUCCUAUUAUAAUGACAUCAUCCACAUAUACUAACAGAUAUACUGUAUUCCCAUUUGUGUUUUUGACAAAUAGUGAAUAGUCAGAGGGUGUUUGAAUAAAAUUCAUUUCAAUUAAUACCCCUUUUAACUUUGCAAACCAAUUUCUAGAGGCCUGUUUUAGACCAUAUAGAGACUUAUUAAGUUUGCACACUCUUUUAUCUCCAUCACUAAGAAGUCCUUGUGGUGGUUUGAGAUACACUUCUUCAUGGAGAUCUCCAUGAAGAAAUGCAUUAUUCACAUCUAAUUGGUAUAUGUUCCACCCUUUGAUUGCUGAAAUUGCAAUUAUAGUUUUCACUGUGGUCAUUUUAACCACAGGUGCAAAAGUUUCGUAAUAAUCAAACCCUUCCUUUUGGGUAAACCCUUUUGCUAUAAGUCUAGCCUUGUAUCUUUCUACUUCACCAUUUGGUCUAUAUUUUACUUUAUAGAUCCAUUUGGAUCCCACAAGUUUUCUAUCAUGAGGAAGUGUGGUUAAUGUCCAUGUUUUGUUUAUGUGAAGUGUCUCCAUUUCUUUUUUCAUUGCUUCUACCCAUUUAGGGUUUUUAGAAGCUUCUGAAAAAGAUUGAGGUUCUUCAUGCAUUGACAUUUGUUGAAGUAAUUUUUUGUGAUUUUUGUUUAUUCUGUGGUAUGAAACCUGAUUGCAUAAAGGGUAUUUCCCUUUAUGACUAUCAUUCCCAUAUUCCUUGUCAUUUUCAAGGAAAAACUCCUUGUAUGACUUUGGUAUGUGAAUGACCCUACCAGCUCUUGUAAUUCUUUCUAUUUUAUUAGUUUCCAUUAAUUUUUCUGGAAAUGUAUAGGGGACAACUUGAAGUUGUUCAUUUCUUUCUCCUGAAAUUUCAGAAGGAUUACUUUGCUGUUCUGUUGCAAUUUCUGCAAUUGAUGAAGUUAUUUCAUCAUUAUUCUGAAAAAUUUCAGAAUUAAGGUUAUUUUCAGCAUUUUGAGGACUGCUGAUAGAGUUUCUGUUUAAUCUUGACUCAGUAGUACCUUUUUCUUUGUUUUUUUCUAUAUUUGCAUUCUCUACUUGAUUUGUCAUUUUAUUUUGCAAUAUUAAUUGCUCUGGACACAUUUGGCCAGAUUCUGACCUUGUAUCUGAUAUAACCAUUAGAUCUUGGUUUUCUUUGCUUAGACCAGUCUUUUGAUUUUUGUUUGAUGUAUUUUGAUCUGAACUUCUAUUCAGAUUCAGUUUUUUAUCUUCUGGUCUAGCUUUUCUGUUGAAAAAAUUAUUAUUUUUAUUUAAUUCAGAUUGAUUGUUCUGAAUAUACUUGAUCAUUUUCUGAUCUUAUAUCUGAAUUUAUUUUCAGAUUUUUAUUUUCUGAUCUUUCUUUUUUGUUUAGAUCAGAAUUUUUAAAAUUGUUUUUGCCUUGGUUAUAACUUUUAUAGUCAUACCAGGACUUGUUUGUAUCAUCAUGAUAUAGGAGUACAUUAUCAUACAAGUUUUCAAAAAAAAUAGGUUUCUUUGUGUUUUCUGAGCUUAUAUUGUCUUUGAAUGGGAAUAUAGAUUCCCUAAAAGAUACAUCUCUGGAAACUACUAAUUUUUUAUCUAAAAUAUUUAGAAUUAAAUAUCCUUUAACACCCUUUGGAUAUCCCAUAAAAACUCCUUGAAAAGUUUUGGGUGAAAACUUAUUUUCUACUUGGGUUGUAGAUGCAUAGCAUAAACACCCAAAAGUUUUAAGGUUUUCAUAAUUGGGUAUUUUCUUAUGAAUUAUCUCAUAAGGUGUUUUGUUUUCUAUUAUUUUGGAAGAGAUCCUAUUAAUUAGGUGGGCUGCUGUCAAAAUGCAUUCCCCCCAAUAUUCGAGUGGGAUAUUUCCUUGAAGGUGUAGGGCUCUUGCAAUAUUCAAGAGGUGCCUAUGCUUCCUUUCUACCCUUGCAUUUUGUGCAGGUGUAUAAGGGCAUGAAAAUUGUUGAAUUAUUCCAUUUUUUUCAGAAAAAUCCUUAAAGUUAUUAGAGGUGAACUCUCCUCCAUUAUCACUUCUAAUAAUUUUAAUUUUAGUUUGGAAUUGUGUUUUAACCAUUUUGUAGAAACUUUCAAUGCAUUGUAAUGCCAUUGAUUUAUUUUUAAUUAAAUAUAUCCAUGUACCUCUACUUAGAUCUUCUACAAUAGUCAAAAAAUAACUAAACCCAUCAUGAGUCAUAAUUGGGAAUUUACCCCAUAUGUCUACAUGAAUGAGUUCAAAAAUAUUUUCAGAUUUAGAUGAGCUAAUUGAGAAUUUAGGUUUAGCUUGUUUUGCUAAAGGACAUAUUCUACAAUCAUAUUGUAUAUUAUUUAUUUCAUUUAAAACUGAAUUUUUACAAGAAGAUCUAUUUUUAUUUGAAGAAAACUUGUUAUUACAAUCUGAAGAGUAUUUGUUAUUACAAUCUGAAAAAGAAAUACAUUUUGACCUAUUGUCAUUACACUUGAUAUUUUUACAUCUAAUAUCAUAUUUAGAGACUAGAGUCUUCAUUUUUUCAGCAGAUAUGUGUCCUAGUCUUUGAUGCCAAGUUUUGAAGUCAAUGACUAGGUUUGCUAGAAAGUAAUGGGGUGUGAAAAAAUAUAAUCCAUCUUGGGAUUCACCCUUGCCAAUCACUUUCCCUGAUUUGUUUUCCUGAAAUUGGAAACAAUGAUCAUUAAAUAUGACUUUAAUGUCAUUGUCUAAUGUUAACUUACUAAUGGCUAUUAGGUUAACUUUGAAUUCAGGAAUAUAUAAAACAUUUUUAAAAACUAAGUUUUCUGAAAUUUUUAUGCAACCCACCCCUUUAACUACUAGUGUCUUCCCACUAGGUAUUGUUACAAAAUGAUUAGGUUCUUUAAGAGGUGGGUUAAUAAACAGAUGUAUAUUUCCAGUCAUGUGCUGUGAUGCACCUGUAUCUACUAUCCAUUUAUCUAUAUAAUUAUUCAUAUUAUUAGAAAUGUUAUCUAUAUUAAAAGAAAAAUGAAAAAUUUUACCAUUGUUUGACUUAGUUGAGGAAAUGAGCUCCUUGAAUAGUUGGAUCUCUUCCUGAGUCAAUGUUAGUUGCUGAUUGUUGGAAGCAGUAACUUGAUUUGCAGCUUCUAUGUUAUUUGUAUUGCUGCCCUGGGGUUUUUUUUCUUUGGGUUUUUUCUGAAAUUUAUCUUUUGGUUUUCCAACCAAGUGAUAGCAUUUCUCUCUUGUGUGACCGUAGUACUUACAAUUGUCACAGUAAAACCUAGUAUCAAGUUUCUUCCCACUCUUGGAAAACAAAACUUUUAUUCCCUCUACUGAAUUUUUCUCUUUUACAAAAAAAACAGAUUCAUUUUUCUCAAUAUUCCUGAAUUUCAGCCUUUGUUUUUCUUCUUGUAAUACCAACCCAAGAAUUUUAUUCAUAUUUGGAAGAUUCUCUAAUGAUAGAAUUUGUGUUCUUAGAUUAUAAAAAUUUUCAUUGAGUCCCAAAAGGAAUUGAUGGAUCAUGUCUAUUUCUUCUUUUUGUUGGUAAAUCUUUUUGCAUCCUAGACAAAAUUUUUCUUUAGUUUCAUCUAUUUGCACUAACUGAUCCCAAAUGGACCUAAAUUUAUCAUAGAACUCAGAUGCACCCAUUUGACCUUGUUGUAAGCAACAUAAUUCGUAUUUGAUCUGAUUCACUUUAGGGGCAUUCCCUUGUUUAUACCUACUCUCAAGGUCUAACCAAACUUGAUAUGCAUUAUUAGAGUACAUGAUUGUAGACUGAAUUUGAGGGGAAACUGAAUUCAGUAUCCAUGCUAGUACUAGUCCAUUAACUAUUUUCCAUAUAUUAUAUUCUCUACUAGCAUAGUCAGUUGGCAUUGUGAUCUGACCAGAGAUGAAAGCAUCUUUUCUUCUAGAGAUUAAAGAUACCUUCAUCCCAUUAGACCAAGUAAUAUAGUUGGAUUCUCCAACUAGUCUAUCGGGAACUAAAAUUGCUCCGGGAUGAUCACCGGAUGUUAAAAAGAAAGGAGACUCAGGGUCUUGUAAAGGUGAGAUAUACCUUUCAGAUCUUUGUUUCUUGUGAAAAGAUCCAUUAUACAAACCUUCCUCUUGGUUAUUUGCCUUGGAUUUCCCAGUAGACCCAGAUGAUGAUUGGUGCGACAUUGCUGGUGCUUUUAUUGGGUUUUGUUGUUGUUGCAGAAGAGACUGCUGGACGAACUCGGCUUGACUGUUUGCCAGAGGAAAAAUUGCGGAAGUGGCCGGACGGUUGACCGGAGGGACGCCAGAAGCGUUGUCGGCAGAUACCAUGUUAAAUUCUAGGCGCGGAGUGGUCGUCGCUUCAUUUACCGGGAUAUCCCCAAACACAUGAUGCUCGAAGUGGUGCGGAGUGCCCAUAUGCGUUGCUAGGGUUUGUCGCCCACUCUGGUGUUUGCAGACACCGGUAAUAACUACCGUUAAAGAAGAAGAAAGAAGAAGGAAGAAAAAGGAUUUGAGUUGAAUUCGCUAAUCACAUGAAAUCAGUGAUUAACCUAGUUAAUUUGAAUUUAUUUUGUAAUUGUUUACACUUUCUUAUUUAUUACAAAAGUUUAACAAACUAAUUAAUUCAAUUCAAACUAACUAUAAAUCUUCUCCUCAAUUGUGAUUGGUCCAUCUCAGAUUUAUUGAAACUAUUGCACUUUAGACCUUGCAUUUUCUUUAACUCGUUUUAUGAGUCACGGUCCAAAUUACCUGCAUAGUAAAAUCUUAUAACAAAAUUAGUUAUUUUAAUAAAACCAAUCGUUUAUUACAUUUCAGUCCUUAUAACGAUUUAUUUGAAAACUUUAUGAAUAACACCCUGAUAGUUUAUAACUAUCAGUUUAUU